rnacentral:piRNA from 1 species
UAGUGUUCCAUUCUAUGAACAGAUGUACCC